ACUUGCUACAGCUGUGCUCAAACAAUAUGGGCAUCCUUUGAAUAUUACAAAGACUGGAACUCUUAUAGUAGAGUCAUUCCAAUCGCAGCGUCCUGAUGAAACGCACAUAGUCUCUAUUAAUUUUAAGAGCGGGAUUUCUAAAUAUCAUGGAUAUGGUAAGCACGGGGGUCCAGAUGUUUCCCGUGAAGUCCUUGCUCCAUCUACUGUAGACACCUCGUUUCCACAGAGUCUAAUCAUGUACGAGGGAGGCAAAUUACUGUUGAAAUAUGCAAAGUGAGGAAUUGUCAGUCUACUGCUGUUUGAAGAGGUAAUGAAUCAGCCCGACCCCAGCACAGAUCUCCGGAAAUCAUGUACUAAGGCCAAGCAUGAGGUCAGUCGUGGUUGCCCUUAUGACACUCAUAUCCAGAAAUAGGGACUGGGAUGCCAGUUGAUCAGAGAAAAACCGAGAUCUUGUUACCUGAUGUCUUGAGUGUAGCUUAUGACUGGAGUCGUCGUGUUUCCAUUGCUGUUUAAAUGUAUUUCUAUUAGCUUACAAGAAGUAUGCAUAUCUGCCGCUGGGAAUGCUGCUUUCGGUAUAUACAACAAUACUAAACUGUCAUAAACAGAGGCCUUUCCCUGUGAUUUGUGACAGUUCCAGACUUGUAGUACUAAGUGACAGUCAUUGAUCAGUAGACGACGUUCUUUUA